AUCGUGAGUAGAAGCGGUUAGAUACCGAAUUGGUAUCGGGACAUUGCUCAUAGU
rnacentral:ncRNA from 1 species